GUGAAUUCAAAAUAAAAUUGAUUUUUUGCUUUGGAUGAGUUUUGAUUGAAAUGAAUUUUCUCUUUGUUUUGCUACGUUUUGUGGGUAUAUUUUCAUAGUAGUUUCUCACAAAGUUUCGAAAUUUCCAUCGAAAGGUGGCAGAACUUUUAUUGUAAAUUUUCAAAUUACUAGUUCAAUCAGAAAAUUUACUGCUGUCUCGUGUAACGGACCAGUGGAAACGACUGAAGAUGGUUAGACCACGAUAACCUUUGACCGCCACUGUAUCAGGAGGUCGAAACGGCAUUUUGUCUCCACUUUCGCUUCACGCGAUCCAUGGGAAAGGCAAGAGUAAUUAUGCUCUGUUUGCGUGCACUGUUUGGUU